rnacentral:rRNA from 1 species
UACGUAGGGACCGAGCGUUGUCCGGAAUCAUUGGGCGUAAAGAGCGUGUAGGCGGCUUGCUAAGUCUUGCGUGAAAUCUCGGGGCUCAACCUCGAGACGCCGAUGGAAACCAUCUAACUAGAGUCCGGAAGAGGAGAGUGGAAUUCCUGGUGUAGCGGUGAAAUGCGCAGAUAUCAGGAAGAACACCCGUGGCUAAGGCGGCUCUCUAGUACGGUACUGACGCUGAGACGCGAAAGCGUGGGGAGCGAACAGG